CUUCAGCGAUCCGAGCAGCACGGGACGGUCGGCGGCGCGGUCCUGCCCGUAGGUGGCCAGAAUCGCCUGUCCCUC
rnacentral:antisense_RNA from 1 species